rnacentral:misc_RNA from 1 species
AACACUGUUAACCUGCGGUACCUGCGGAAGGAUCAUUGCUGGAACGCGCUUCGGCGCACCCAGAAACCCUUUGUGAACUUAUACCUAUUUGUUGCCUCGGCGUAGGCCGGCCUCUUCACUGAGGCCCCCUGGAAACAGGGAGCAGCCCGCCGGCGGCCAACUAAACUCUUGUUUCUGUAGUGAAUCUCUGAGUAAAAACAUAAAUGAAUCAAAACUUUCAACAAUGGAUCUCAGAUCGGA